rnacentral:piRNA from 1 species
ACCCAAAACUGAGCCCUCUCU